rnacentral:lncRNA from 1 species
CCUGACUUCAAGUCUAUGUAUGGCAACUAGCUAUAUUACUACUUAUUAGUCAGACUUUAUCUCGAUGGACCUAUUGCCGCCUAUUUAGGAUAAUAAUAAAGUCUUCUAUAGUUACUGGCAUAUUACUCCCAUCAGUGAGAAUUGUAUACGUAGGAGAGAACCUUGCGCUAAAAGGGCUUUGCUUUAUGGUAUAGAUUAGGAAUUGGAAUAAGUAAGGCUAACUAAAAGAGAGAAGAGGGUCUACAGUCAUUCUAUCUCAACACUGAAGAAUAAGACGUCUAUCCUUACUCUUGCAUUAACAUAGAAUAAUCUUCAAGGGAGGAGAGUAUACCGAAUAUGAGGCUGCCCUCAGGCAAACCCAUAAUAAGGCUGAUGAAAGCGAAGCAGAAUUGAAAACAAAUAAGGUACACUCUUGAUCCUUAUAGCACAUCUUGACUCUGACAAUCUCUAAGGUCAACCUUAUGGUUUGCUAGACCAUAGCUUAGGUUCUCUGGGCACUUCCUACCCCAUUUUUUCCCUUAAAAAAGGAAAAGAGACGAUAGAAGAA